rnacentral:rRNA from 2 species
UGGGGAAUAUUGGACAAUGGGGGAAACCCUGAUCCAGCCAUGCCGCGUGUGUGAAGAAGGCCUUUUGGUUGUAAAGCACUUUAAGCAGUGAAGAAGACUCUUCGGUUAAUACCCGGAGACGAUGACAUUAGCUGCAGAAUAAGCACCGGCUAACUCUGUGCCAGCAGCCGCGGUAAUACAGAGGGUGCAAGCGUUAAUCGGAAUUACUGGGCGUAAAGCGAGCGUAGGUGGCUUGAUAAGUCAGAUGUGAAAUCCCCGGGCUUAACCUGGGAACUGCAUCUGAAACUGUUAGGCUAGAGUAGGUGAGAGGGAGGUAGAAUUUCAGGUGUAGCGGUGAAAUGCGUAGAGAUCUGAAGGAAUACCGAUGGCGAAGGCAGCCUCCUGGCAUCAUACUGACACUGAGGCUCGAAAGCGUGGGUAGCAAACAGG